rnacentral:rRNA from 1 species
GGAGCUUGCUCCGCUGACGAGUGGCGAACGGGUGAGUAAUAUAUCGGAACGUACCAUUCAGUGGGGGAUAACGUAGCGAAAGUUACGCUAAUACCGCAUAUUCUGUGAGCAGGAAAGCAGGGGAUCGCAAGACCUUGCGCUGAUUGAGCGGCCGAUAUCAGAUUAGCUUGUUGGUGAGGUAAAAGCUCACCAAGGCGACGAUCUGUAGCGGGUCUGAGAGGAUGAUCCGCCACACUGGAACUGAGACACGGUCCAGACUCCUACGGGAGGCAGCAGUGGGGAAUUUUGGACAAUGGGGGCAACCCUGAUCCAGCCAUGCCGCGUGAGUGAAGAAGGCCUUCGGGUUGUAAAGCUCUUUCAGCCGGGAAGAAAACGCAUGGGUUAAUACCCUGUGUGGAUGACGGUACCGGAAUAAGAAGCACCGGCUAACUACGUGCCAGCAGCCGCGGUAAUACGUAGGGUGCGAGCGUUAAUCGGAAUUACUGGGCGUAAAGCGUGCGCAGGCGGUUUUGUAAGACAGGCGUGAAAUCCCCGGGCUUAACCUGGGAACUGCGUUUGUGACUGCAAGGCUAGAGUACGGCAGAGGGGGGUGGAAUUCCACGUGUAGCAGUGAAAUGCGCAGAGAUGUGGAGGAACACCAAUGGCGAAGGCAGCCCCCUGGGUCGAUACUGACGCUCAUGCACGAAAGCGUGGGUAGCAAACAGGAUUAGAUACCCUGGUAGUCCACGCCCUAAACGAUGUCAACUAGGUGUUGGGAGGGUAAAACCUUUUAGUACCGGAGCUAACGCGUGAAGUUGACCGCCUGGGGAGUACGGCCGCAAGGUUAAAACUCAAAGGAAUUGACGGGGACCCGCACAAGCGUGGAUGAUGUGGAUUAAUUCGAUGCAACGCGAAAAACCUUACCUACCCUUGACAUGCCAAGAACUUUCCAGAGAUGGAUUGGUGCCCGAAAGGGAACUUGGACACAGGUGCUGCAUGGCUGUCGUCAGCUCGUGUCGUGAGAUGUUGGGUUAAGUCCCGCAACGAGCGCAACCCUUGUCGUUAAUUGCCGUCAUUUAGUUGGGCACUUUAACGAGACUGCCGGUGACAAACCGGAGGAAGGUGGGGAUGACGUCAAGUCCUCAUGGCCCUUAUGGGUAGGGCUUCACACGUCAUACAAUGGUCGGUACAAAGGGUCGCCAAGCCGCGAGGUGGAGCCAAUCCCAGAAAGCCGAUCGUAGUCCGGAUCGCAGUCUGCAACUCGACUGCGUGAAGUCGGAAUCGCUAGUAAUCGUGGAUCAGAAUGUCACGGUGAAUACGUUCCCGGGUCUUGUACACACCGCCCGUCACACCAUGGGAGCGGGUUCCGCCAGAAGUAGGUAGCCUAACCGCAAGGAGGGCGCUUACCACGGCGGGGUUCGUGACUGGGGUGAAGUCGUAACAAGGUA